rnacentral:rRNA from 1 species
UACGUAGGGUGCAAGCGUUGUCCGGAAUUAUUGGGCGUAAAGAGCUCGUAGGCGGUUCGUCGCGUCGGCUGUGAAAACCUGAGGCUCAACCUCAGGCCUGCAGUCGAUACGGGCGGACUUGAGUACUGCAGGGGAGACUGGAAUUCCUGGUGUAGCGGUGAAAUGCGCAGAUAUCAGGAGGAACACCAGUGGCGAAGGCGGCCGGCUGGGGGCGCCCUGACGCUGAGGCGCGAGAGCGUGGGGAGCAAACCGG